ensembl:lncRNA
GCAGGACAGCAUUGCUCAGUGUGUGUUUUAGUAAAGCAAGCAGGUUUCUUCUCAGGCGUCCUUACAGAGAAAGUCACUUUGCUACUAAGGUGAACCACUGCAACAACAGCUUGGAGUUUUUGGGAUUUCUUUACAAAGAUAUUUGUUCACAUUUAAAGAAAGGAGUCUUCUGAUUCAGGAGACUGCUUUAAUGCAAUAAUGGCCUACCGCGUUUCUGUUGAUUUGAUCUGAAACUGUCAGAUGACUUCCUUCUGACUCCACAGCACUUCUUGCUCCUAUCCAACUUGCUGGACAAGCGGGUACAAAGGCUGCUGAGAAGGGCAGAAGAAUGAGGUAACACAGGCACGUGCUUUAUCUUCCUAGAGAAAGGGGAUGAGCAUUUAAGAAGGAAGAAUCCUACUUUGUACACUGGCCAAGCACUGUCUGUUCUCUUAGAGCGAGGUAUGUAAGCUCAGUCUACAAAACAUGCGGUUGCAAAGACAGAGGGCAAUUUCAGUCCCCUUCCCUUCCUUGCACUCAUCAAAGUUGGGACCAUGUACGCAUGGCCCAAGUGCUGAAUCAUGACCAGGCAGGCCAAAUUCAUGUCUGGGCUAGUUCUGGUUUCCCUGGGGCAAAACAAAGAGAAAAGUCUUCUCCCUGGGUCACAGCAGGAUCUACUCCACUGAUCAAUUAGACAAGUUUAUUAUCCUAACCAGCCGUGUUUUCUUUUGGCAAACAGAAUACUAGCUACACAGAAAAACAGUUAACUACGACAGUAAUAUGGUUAUCUGACCAAGUAAUAUGGAGAUCUGACCAGGAUAUGUGUCAGUAAACUGAUCAUGGAGGAAUCUGCUGCUAACAACUGAAAAUAUUUAUCCAGGCUGAUAGAUGUGUCAGAUGGACUAUGAACCUCUGAAAUAAGCCAACCUCCAUGAGGGAAGAAAACAAUCAGUCACUUUUCUGCAAGAUUCAGAUCACAGUGUGACUGCACAAACUGGCAUGACUCGACUGCUGGAACAAUUGAAAGUGUGGGAACAUGUGUGGUAUUGUCACUAAACACACUGUCAUGUCAAAUCAUAGCCUCAAGCAAAGGACUGAAGGAUGUGAUUUGGACCUGGAUCUCUCUCAUCAUGACUGAGAUUUACAAGAUGCGUAGAGGAGGCUACAUGCCUUCUUCCAGAAGCUUUGUGAAUCAACUUUCAGGAUGUUUUUUUCCAUGUCUUAAUAAUAAAAAUGAAAUAA